rnacentral:rRNA from 1 species
GACGAACGCUGGCGGCGUGCUUAACACAUGCAAGUCGAACGAAGAGCGAUGGAAGCUUGCUUCUAUCAAUCUUAGUGGCGAACGGGUGAGUAACGCGUAAUCAACCUGCCCUUCAGAGGGGGACAACAGUUGGAAACGACUGCUAAUACCGCAUACGAUCUAAUCUCGGCAUCGAGGAAAGAUGAAAGGUGGCCUCUAUUUAUAAGCUAUCACUGAAGGAGGGGAUUGCGUCUGAUUAGCUAGUUGGAGGGGUAACGGCCCACCAAGGCGAUGAUCAGUAGCCGGUCUGAGAGGAUGAACGGCCACAUUGGGACUGAGACACGGCCCAGACUCCUACGGGAGGCAGCAGUGGGGAAUCUUCCGCAAUGGACGAAAGUCUGACGGAGCAACGCCGCGUGAGUGAUGACGGCCUUCGGGUUGUAAAGCUCUGUUAAUCGGGACGAAAGGCCUUCUUGCGAAUAGUGAGAAGGAU